GUCGUCAGAGAUGGCUUUCAGCGAUCAGGAGGGUUAACUGGACGCCGACUGCAAGUAGCCGUCUGUGCAGUGUACAUUUCAUAUCAGUUCUCCCAACAAGCAGAAGAGGAUUCAUCAAAUGGCACGAACUCAGGCCCU